rnacentral:rRNA from 1 species
GAUGAACGCUAGCGGCAGGCCUAAUACAUGCAAGUCGAACGGUGUCUUCGGACAUAGUGGCGCACGGGUGCGUAACACGUAUGCAACCUACCUUACAUUGGGGGAUAGCCUUUCGAAAGGGAGAUUAAUACCGCAUAAGACAGUAGCUGGGCAUCCAGCAGCUGUUAAAGAUUUAUCGAUGUAAGCUGGGCAUGCGUCCAAUUAGCUAGUUGGUGAGGUAACGGCUCACCAAGGCAAUGAUUGGUAGGGGAACUGAGAGGUCAAUCCCCCACACUGGCACUGAGAUACGGGCCAGACUCCUACGGGAGGCAGCAGUAGGGAUUAUUGGGCAAUGGACGCAAGUCUGACCCAGCCAUGCCGCGUGCAGGAUGAAGGCAUUAUGCGUUGUAAACUGCUUUUAUACAGGAAGAAACGACUCUUGCGAGAGGCAUUGACGGUACUGUAUGAAUAAGCACCGGCUAACUCCGUGCCAGCCGCCGCCGUAAUAC